rnacentral:rRNA from 1 species
UAGUCCACGCUGUAAGCGAUGUCGACUAGCCGUUGGGAUUUUAAAUAAUUUUAGUGGCGCAGCUAACGCGAUAAGUCGACCGCCUGGGGAGUACGGCCGCAAGGUUAAAACUCAAAUGAAUUGACGGGGGCCCGCACAAGCGGUGGAGCAUGUGGUUUAAUUCGAAGCAACGCGAAGAACCUUACCACCCCUUGACAUCCAGAGAACUUACUAGAGAUAGUUUGGUGCCUUCGGGAGCUCUGAGACAGGUGCUGCAUGGCUGUCGUCAGCUCGUGUUGUGAGAUGUUGGGUUAAGUCCCGUAACGAGCGCAACCCUUAUCCUUAUUUGCCAUCGAGUAAUGUCGGGAACUUUAAGGAGACUGCCGGGGACAAACCGGAGGAAGGUAAGGAUGACGUCAAGUCAGCAUGCCCCUUAUGCUCUGGGCUACACACGUGCUACAAUGGUCGUGACAAAGAGUUGCUACUUUGUGAAAACAAGCUAAUCUCAUAAACGCGGCCUCAGUUCGGAUUGCAGG